UCUCUCUCCUUUUCACAUUCCAACCUUUUCUCCUACAUUUAAUACUUCCAGCUAUUCAUUUGAAUUUCAAAUUGUUCUCCAAAAUUAAAUUACUCCCUCCCGAAGUUGAAUUCAAUUUCAUCUAAAAUUGGUCACACAAUGAAUGAAUCAUCUUCAUCUAUGAGGAUUACCAGAGAUAUUCCUUUGCAUGUCAAUUUUGUUGACAUUUUACCAUCAUUUUCAAUGGGGUUAACUCAAGAUUUUGGGGUUGAUGUAGGGUCUUUGGGAAAAUCAAAACAAGUUCUACAAGAACAAACAAUGGAAGAGUUGAGAUCAAAGAAAAAAAAUGACCCUAUGUCAGUUCAAGAAGUUAUUAACAAUGCCAAAGCUAGAGGCAUUAAAAUUGUACAUGGAGGAAGAAAGAAUUGUACAUGGAAGAAGAAAGAGGAAAGCUGUAAACAUUGAAUCAGAGGAAAAUGCAUCUGAAGUUGUCGGAUCUGAAGAACAUCAUAAUCAUGAGGUAGUGUCUUAAAACACAAAGUUAGAUACAAUUUUUUUGUUACUUAGAUGUCAAUAUACAAAAAAUUAUUAUUUAAAUAUUGUAUAUAGUAUAUUGCAUGUUUAGUACAUACAUGUUUAGUUAUAUAUUUGUAUAUUUAUUUAAUUAUUAUAUGUGUUUGUCGAUUUGAUUACUUUAUACAUACUUUAAGUUAUGUAUAAUGAAUAAAAAUUUGAUCCUGACUCAGGGUUCAAAUGUGUUGAAGGA